GAUUAACGCUGGCGGCGUGCAUAACACAUGCGAGUCGAACGAUGAAACUUAAAUGAUUUCUUCGGAAUGAACUUAAGUGGAUUAGUGGCGGACGGGUGAGUAACGCGUGAGUAACCUGCCUUACACAAGGGGAUAGCCGUUGGAAACGACGAAUAAUACCCUAUGAAACUAUCACUUCGCAUGAAGCGAUAGUCAAAGUGUUAGCGGUGUAAGAUGGACUUGCGUCUGAUUAGCUAGUUGGUGAGAAAAAAGCCCACCAAGGCAACGAUCAGUAGCCGGCUUGAGAGAGUGUACGGCCACAUUGGGACUGAGACACGGCCCAGACUCCUACGGGAGGCAGCAGUGGGGAAUUUUGCACAAUGGGGGAAACCCUGAUGCAGCGACGCCGCGUGAUUUAGAAGGCCUUCGGGUUGUAAAAAUCUUUUGUAUAGGAAGAAAAUGACAGUACUAUACGAAUAAGGUCCGGCUAAUUACGUG
rnacentral:rRNA from 1 species